rnacentral:rRNA from 1 species
UAAUACGUAGGGUGCAAGCGUUGUCCGGAAUUACUGGGUGUAAAGGGUCCGCAGGCGGACAAGUUCGUCGGAGGUGAAAUCUACCCGCUCAACGGGUAAACUGCCUUCGAUACUGCUUGUCUUGAGUUCGGGAGAGGGUAGUGGAAUUCCUGGUGUAGCGGUGAAAUGCGUAGAUAUCAGGAAGAACACCAGUUGCGAAGGCGGCUACCUGGCCCGACACUGACGCUCAGGGACGAAAGCGUGGGGAGCAAACAGGAUUAGAUACCCUGGUAGUCCACGCCCUAAACGAUGGGUACUAGGUGCUGGUCCCGCUCGGUACAUGCGAAGCGUGUCUCGAGCGGGAUCAGUGCCGCAGUUAACGCAUUAAGUACCCCACCUGGGGAGUACGAUCGCAAGGUUG